rnacentral:rRNA from 1 species
CGGUACGUACUGGCAUCGUCGGUUUCUCCCUUCUGACGAACCAUGAUGUCAUUUAUUUGGUGUUGUGGGGAAUCAGGACUGUUACUUUGAAAAAAUUAGAGUGUUUAAGGCAGACUCACGCUUGAAUACAUUAGCAUGGAAUAAUGAAAUAGGACGUUUGAUUCUAUUUUGUUGGUUUCUAGGAUCGACAUAAUGAUUAAUAGGGAUAGUUGGGGGCAUUAGUAUUCAAUUGUCAGAGGUGAAAUUCUUGGAUUUAUUGAAGACUAACUACUGCGAAAGCAUUUGCCAAGGAUGUUUUCAUUAAUCAAGAACGAAAGUUAGGGGAUCGAAGACGAUCAGAUACCGUCGUAGUCUUAACCAUAAACUAUGCCGACUAGGGAUCGGAUGAUGUUAAUUUUUUAAUGACUCAUUCGGCGCCUUACG